AUUCUGCUGCGAAGCAAAAAAUACACUUCAAGAUUGUAUCUGCGCACGCUUGGAGUUAUGUAACUGUUGUCACGUUACCAAGAGUUACCAAGUGUGUAGAACGUUUUGUACAUUUGUAGAAAGAGAUUCACACGUUUAAAAAAAUUGACUGAGCAACGUUGCGGGCAGGACCUUUUACUCCUGACCAAUCAGCCAAAACAACCGCCGCCUAUUGCUGCAACCAUUGGCCGGAUUGUUCCAUCAAUCAAAUCUCAGGAAGUAGUUUGAAGAGGAGAAGGGAAGUCAUUUCUACAAAGUAACUAGAAUAAAAUGAUCUACCUGAAGGUGGAGAGGGAGUAAGAUCACUAGAAAGCAGAAAGCUGCCAGACAACCACAGGACCCAAGAGACCUCUACAUGCUGUAACAUGGGCCCGGAUGGUGAGGCACAACUGCUUCCAACUGCCUUACUGAAUAUUGGGGCCUUCAAUGGUACCUGACAUUGCAGCUUUUCUGGGAUAUAUAUUUUAGUUGGCACACCUUUGUGAUAUCUUAUAUACAUGAAUAAAAAUGUAUUCACCCUGGACAUGAGGCUCCAGUUCGACAAUGCAUGCUUCCAGCAGGAUGCACAGACAACUAUGGUUUGCAUGCCCUGCUGUAGGGCCCUACCGUGCGGAAUAGGUGGUUGUAGUUCAUUGGUCCCCACUGGUGGUAAGUAAAGCGGUAGCUAGACCAUAGACUGCUGGUUAUGUAUCUUGUUAUGUAUAUUUUGUUGAUCGUUAUCACUAUCAUCAAUGGCAUAGCUGAUGUGCACUCUUCAAUACAACUCAGAUUUGGUUUGGAAACAGAAUAACAUUUCAAAAGAAGGCAAAUAAUUAGUAGGAACCUCUUGUCAUGAUUGUGAUGUCGCCAGAUUGACUUUAGAGGCAGUGUAAUUUCUGCCAGCUAACUAAAAUUGAGGGGAACACUGUAUUGUAGCUAGCUAACAUUAGCAUUGCUAGCUAUUUUUGACUAACUUUGCUAGUUACAUUAAUGGCAACAUUGCCAUCUCUCUAAUGGAAAUUUGACGACAUCAUAAAAUGGCAAAGUUGUUUCCUACUAAUUUUUGACUACUUCAGCAAUGUCAUCUUGUUUCCAUGCCACUAUAAUUUAGUUUAAUUUAGACUAAACAGUCACAUUAGCCUUUUGAGGUGCACCACAUGUCUAAGGAUGCAGCUAUGGUGGUACUAGCUAACUCAUGUCUGACUACAACAGUGUAUGUAAACUGCCACUAUUUGUUGCUUAUUUCCAAGGCAUAACUUAGCUUGAUGAACGAGCCUGAUCGCUGUGUUCACCAUUCUAUUUCUCUUCACAUUUUAUGAUAUCUGAAGUGAAAUAGAAAGGUGAACGCAAGGAUCCGGUUGGUUCAACCAGGCUAAUCAUAACUACCAUUGAUUGUGUAUGUGUGAAAUAGACGAUCCAGUAUCUUUGAUGAGGGGCCAGGAGCUGAUCUACGCUGCUAUGCCCAUAAAUGUGGCUCUGGCAAAGACCUCACCUCUUGCCUGCUCACCAACAGUUGUCGAUGGGGAGAAUAAAAUGAGACACCUUUAUGGAGACAGCACUUGGGAGACUUCAAAAAUGAUAUGAUGGCAUCCAGACUGACAAGACAGGCUUGAUGCUGAUGUCUCUGAUUGGUUCAAGACCUUGCACUCAGCAAUAUAAUUAUACAGGACACAUCUAUUACUUGUUAUUGUCUUUAUUUGUUAUUGAAUAGAAUGCUACUAUCAAUUGAAUGGUUUGGCAAGGUAGCCCCAGGUAGAACCGUUUUUGGUUCCAGGUAGAACCCUCUGUGGAAAGGUUUCUAGCUGGAACCAAAAAGGGUUCUUCAAAGGAUUCCCCUAUGGGGACAGCCAAAGAAUCAUUUUAGGUUCUAGAUCGCACCUUUAUUUCUUAGAGUGUAUCUAUCUGUAUCGGCUGUAAAUGACAAUAAAAACGCUGCUACUUCUUUA